CGCGUAGGCGGGCCAUCAAGUCAGGGGUGAAAUCUUUCGGCUCAACCGGAAAAGUGCCUUUGAUACUGGUGGUCUCGAGGGAGGUAGGGGCAUGCGGAACUUCCGGUGGAGCGGUGAAAUGCGUAGAUAUCGGAAGGAACGCCGGUGGCGAAAGCGGCGUGCUGGACCUCUUCUGACGCUGAGGCGCGAAAGCUAGGGGAGCAAACGGGAUUAGAUACCCCGGUAGUCCUAGCCCUAAACGAUGAGCACUAGAUUGUAGAUCGACAUGGGUUUACAGUCGAAGCAAAAGUGUUAAGUGCUCCGCCUGGGGAGUAUGGUCGCAAGGCUGAA
rnacentral:rRNA from 1 species